CCUACGGGUGGCAGCAGUGGGGGAUAUUGCACAAUGGGGGGAACCCUGAUGCAGCGACGCCGCGUGGGUGAAGAAGCGCCUCGGCGCGUAAAGCCCUGUCAGCAGGGAAGAAAAUGACGGUAGCUGACGAAGAAGCCCCGGCUAACUACGUGCCAGCAGCCACGGUAAUACGAAGGGGGCAAGCGUUAUCCGGAUUUACUGGGUGUAAGGGGGGCGCCGCCGGCGAUGCAAGCCAGGAGUGAAAGCCCCGGGCACAACCCCGGGACUGCUCUUGGAACUGCGUGGCUGGAGUGCAGGAGGGGCAGGCGGAAUUCCUGGUGUAGCGGUGACAUGCGUAGAUAUCAGGAGGAAGACCGGUGGCGAAGGCGGCCUGCUGGACUGCAACUGACGUUGAGGCCCGAAAGCGUGGGGAGCAAACAGGAUUAGAUACCCGAGUAGUC
rnacentral:rRNA from 1 species